rnacentral:RNase_P_RNA from 1 species
GAGUUGGCCAGGCAGCCGCGGGGACCGGGUUAUAGACCCGGUUCACGAGGAACGUCCGGGCACCUCAGGGCAAAGUGGUGGCUAACAGCCACCCGGGGCGACCCGCGGGAAAGUGCCACAGAAAACAGACCGCCAGCUUCCCGAUCUAAUCGGGGAACUGGUAAGGGUGAAACGGUGCGGUAAGAGCGCACCAGCAGCCAGGGUGACCUGGCUGGCUUGGUAAACCCCACUUGGUGCAAGGUCAAGCAGAAGGCCGGAGCUGCCCGCUCCUUACCUUCGGGUAGACCGCUUGAGACUUGCGGUAACGCAAGUCCUAGAUGAAUGGUUGCCGGCACGGUGGUUCAUCGUGCUAACAGAACCCGGCGUAUCGGCCAACUCA